AAUAGAUACCCGGGUAGUCCACGCCGUAAACGAUGGAUACUAGCUGUUCGGUCGCAAGAUUGAGUGGCUAAGCGAAAGUGAUAAGUAUCCCACCUGGGGAGUACGAACGCAAGUUUGAAACUCAAAGGAAUUGACGGGGGCCCGCACAAGCGGUGGAGCAUGUGGUUUAAUUCGAUGAUACGCGAGGAACCUUACCAAGGCUUAAAUGUAUAUUGACAGGACUGGAAACAGUUUUUUCUUCGGACAAUUUACAAGGUGCUGCAUGGUUGUCGUCAGCUCGUGCCGUGAGGUGUCAGGUUAAGUCCUAUAACGAGCGCAACCCCUGUUGUUAGUUGCCAGCGAGUCAAGUCGGGAACUCUAACAAGACUGCCAGUGUAAACUGUGAGGAAGGUGGGGAUGACGUCAAAUCAUCACGGCCCUUACGCCUUGGGCUACACACGUGCUACAAUGGCCGGUACAGAGAGCAGCCACUGCGCGAGCAGGAGCGAAUCUAUAAAACCGGUCACAGUUCGGAUCGGAGUCUGCAACUCGACUCC
rnacentral:rRNA from 1 species